rnacentral:rRNA from 1 species
GCUAAACGCGAAGAACCUUACCUGGCCUUGACAUGUCCGGAAUCCUGCAGAGAUGCGGGAGUGCCUUCGGGAAUCGGAACACAGGUGCUGCAUGGCUGUCGUCAGCUCGUGCCGUGAGAUGUUGGGUUAAGUCCCGCAACGAGCGCAACCCUUGUCCUUAGUUGCCAGCGAGUAAUGUCGGGAACUCUAAGGAGACUGCCGGUGACAAACCGGAGGAAGGUGGGGAUGACGUCAAGUCCUCAUGGCCCUUACGGCCAGGGCUACACACGUACUACAAUGGUCGGUACAGAGGGUUGCAAUACCGCGAGGUGGAGCCAAUCCCAGAAAGCCGAUCCCAGUCCGGAUUGGAGUCUGCAACUCGACUCCAUGAAGUCGGAAUCGCUAGUAAUCGCGGAUCAGCUAUGCCGCGGUGAAUACGUUCCCGGGUCUUGUACACACCG